GACGAACGCUGGCGGCGUGCCUAAUACAUGCCAGUUGAGCGCUGAAGGUUGGUACUUGUACCAACUGGAUGAGCAGCGAACGGGUGAGUAACGCGUGGGGAAUCUGCCUUUGAGCGGGGGACAACAUUUGGAAACGAAUGCUAAUACCGCAUAAUAACUUUAAACACAAGUUUUAAGUUUGAAAGAUGCAAUUGCAUCACUCAAAGAUGAUCCCGCGUUUUAUUAGCUAGUUGGUGAGGUAAAGGCUCACCAAGGCGAUGAUACAUAGCCGACCUGAGAGGGUGAUCGGCCACAAUGGGACUGAGAAACGGCCCAAACUCCUAAGGGAGGCAGCAGGAGGGAAUCUUCGGCAAUGGACGAAAGUCUGACCGAGCAACGCCGCGUGAGGGAAGAAGGUUGUCGGAUCGUAAAAAUCUGUUGGUAGAGAAGAACGUUGGUGAGAGUGGAAAGCGCAUAAAGUGACGGUAACUACCCAGAAAGGGACGGCUAACUACGUG
rnacentral:rRNA from 1 species